AACAAAAAAAAACAAAGGUCUCCCUCCCCCAGACUUAAAACAAGCAUUGUCCUCAAUGAAAGGACAUAAUUAUUAAAGUAAAGAGAAGGAAAGGACAACUCCCUGAUCAAGUUGCAGUGUAGUUAGGCGCUUCCAAAGAAAGCUCCUCUAUACCGACAUCUUCAGGCACCGAACCUCCAUAGAAUAACUUCAGACGCUGCCCGUUAACCUUAAA
rnacentral:lncRNA from 1 species